AUUGAACGCUGGCGGCAGGCCUAACACAUGUAAGUCGAGCGGAGCGGCGGACGGGGGAGUCAUGCCUAGGAAUCUGCCUGGUCGUGGGGGAUAACGUCCGGAAACGGGCGCUAAUACCGCAUACUAUCAGAUGAGCCUAGGUCGGAUUGGCUAGUUGGUGGGGUAAAGGCCUACCAAGGCGACGAUCCGUAACUGGCCUGACAGGAUGAUCAGUCAACAUGGAACGGAGACACGGUCCAGACGCCUACGGGAGGCAGCAGUGGGGAAUAUUGGACGAUGGGCGAAAGCCUGAUCCAGCCAUGCCGCGUGUGUGAAGAAGGUCUUCGGAUUGUAAAGCACUUUAAGUUGGGAGGCGUUACCAACAGAAUAAGCACCGGCUAACUUCGUGCCAGCCGCCGCGGUAAUAC
rnacentral:rRNA from 1 species